rnacentral:rRNA from 1 species
CACGUAGGGGGCGAGCGUUGUCCGGAUUUAUUGGGCGUAAAGAGCUCGUAGGCGGCUCGGUAAGUCAGGUGUGAAAACUCUAGGCUCAACCUAGAGACGCCACCUGAUACUGCUGUGGCUAGAGUCCGGUAGGGGAGCAUGGAAUUCCUGGUGUAGCGGUGAAAUGCGCAGAUAUCAGGAGGAACACCAGUGGCGAAGGCGGUGCUCUGGGCCGGAACUGACGCUGGAGGAACGACGAAGCGUGGGGAGCAAACAGGAU